CUACCAUGGCUUUUACGGGUAACGGAGGAUUAGGGUUCGAUUCCGGAGAGGGAGCCUGAGAAACGGCUACCACAUCUAAGGGAGGCAGCAGGCGCGUAAAUUACCCAAUGCUAAUUCAGCGAGGUAGUGACAAGAAAUAACGGGUCGGGGCAUAUACCCUGGGACUGAAAUGAAGUGAAUUUACACCCCUUGGUAGAGCAACAAUUGGAGGGCAAGUCUGGUGCCAGCAGCCGCGGUAAUUCCAGCUCCAAUAGCGUAUAUUAAAGUUGUUGCAGUUAAAAAGCUCGUAGUUGGAUUUCUGGUGGGCAGAUACCCUGCGGCCGCCCGUUCGUGGUUGUAUCCAACACCCCUCUGUUCCUCUUUGUUUA
rnacentral:rRNA from 1 species